rnacentral:lncRNA from 1 species
GGGAAAAAUGGUUUUAGACAGAGUUUGGCAUCUUUGACCAAGAAGAAAUUUUAGUUUUCAUUAGAAAGAAAGGAAUUGAUUCUUUCUGUGGGUGUUCCAGAGGAGUCCCAGGCAAAAAGAAGAAAAAAGCAGGGAGGAGACCGUAUUGGGCAUUCCUUUCAGGGGUUGGGUGAUCCCUCUGUUACUUGUUGGUGGAACACAGGUAACCAGAGAUCUGGCUCAUCUCUUUGUAAUGUUUAGAAGAGUUCCCUUUAACUUGGAUUUGAAAACCAACAAUCCUCCGGCCACCUUCUUCUUUGCCACUCUCCUUCAUCAUAUACUUCCAUAAACUUGAAAUUGUUUUAGCAAUUAGCCUUUUAAGGGUGGGGCAGGGAGAGCUAAAACUUUAGAAUAUUAUUAUGCUGCUUUUUAAGUUUAUCCCU